GUUUGGGGGUGGAUCUGACGUCCCUGAGUGUAUGUGGUGAACCUGAAUUUGCCUUGGGUUUCCUCAUAUUCAUUCAGGAGUGUCAGUUCCCCCUUUACU
rnacentral:pre_miRNA from 1 species